AGGGACAUUCUCUAUGGACCAAGCAUUCAAAUAUAGUUAGUGAGCACCUUGCAGACACACAGGAUGUACUUCUCCAAGAUGGUGCAAUGGAGCAGAAACAGCUCAUGUCCCUAAUAAGAAGCCACGAGGGACCUCAUUGCUUAUUGAAGAGUCUUGCAGCAUACUUUGUUCGUUGGUCUUUUCUUAAUGGUUGGCUAUUUCUCCUCCAAUUCAAGAACAUUAAAAUCUAACAGAACAAAGACCGUGACCACCCCAGACACACAUCCCACAACUCCAAGCUAUGUGUGUCCAGAAGAGAAACAAAACAAAAUUUAUGGCUUUUGCUCUAGUAAUUCCUGCCACCCACUGAUCUAAGUCAUUCUUGAACACGAUUAUGAGUGUUUUCAUACAUAUGUGAUGCAUUGAGUAACUGAAUGGAUCCCAUCUGGGAGAUAUAUAAAGUGGACACUGAAGUGACUCAUCAGGCAGCUGCAGAGAAUACACAGAUGAGAAUGGCAGGGAACUCCACCAUGAAGAUGCUGAGCAUCAUCCACACCAUUUCCAGAAGAUGGAAAAAGCCACAUGACUGUGGAACACCACAAAAUUGAGGAAGAGUUUGAAGCUCACGGCUGCCAGAGUGAAACCUUGGGCUCUGGUAUUAGCUGCCUUGUACAUGGCUGAUUGGAACACAAAGGAAAAUAAUCUUGUAAGUUGUU
rnacentral:lncRNA from 1 species